rnacentral:precursor_RNA from 11 species
GUGUGCCUCGACGUUUCACGUCCGCCUGCCGGGCCUGAUCCUUUGCUCAACCUGUGAUCGUAAACCUUGUAUUACCCUCCUUUGCGGGAGGAGGUGAGCAAAGUUUCAGGUGCGUCAGUCGGAUCGUCUUUCUCACCGCACAAUU